AGAUAAAUGUACGUGCUUACUCAUCUUUAAAAAGAAGAGAAUUUUAACCUCUAAAUAAUUAAGAAUUGCAAAGCUCUCUCUCUCUCACAUCCCUCAUCCCUCCGAUCGUAGCCAACUCCACCCACGCCGUCGCCUUCAUCGAGCCGCUGCUGAAACCCGCCGGAUGGACCAACUGGACCAUCAACACCGCUAACACCGGCUAUGGCGACCGAUCGUCGUCUUCACCCGGCCGGGUUCCACUACGUCAACUCGCGCCUCGAGUCCUUGCACGAGCUCGAUAGCCUCCUCGCCGGCGCUCCGAUCGACUCUCUCUCUCUCUCUCUUAUUUGGUUAUAGUUUAUUCGAAAGUUGUGCUUCUUUGUGCAGUACUGCAGUUACGAGGGAGGAGGUGAAGGGAAAUUUCAUUUUGUUAUUACCAGGUUUGAGAUCUGGUAUAGUGGUGCUUGAGAAAAUAUGCUUUGAUAGUUCUUGAUUUUUGAGGGGUAGAAUUUGGAUGCAGGCUGGUUUCAGAAGCAACCCUGCAACCAAUGACUGGAUUCCCAAGACGGAUGAAGAUCAAUCUGGUCUUCGUUUCCUCAAAGCUAGCCAAAUGGAAGUGAAACUGAGAGUUGUGCAUUGCUCAUAAAAACAUUUCAGCUUUUGCUUCCAGGGUGGAAGCAGUUUUUGAGGAACUUAAGAAGAGCUGGUAAUGUUGUAAAUUUUUUUACUGAAUAUUCAUAUCAGCAUGUAAUUUAGUGGUUUCA